AGCUGAUGGUAUAAUGAGUCGCCAGAGGACAUGUUUUUAAUAAUCUUAGUUUGUAACAAAGAUGCUGCCAAGUCACAGUCACAUUAUGAGUCUUGCGCAGCCACUUUAAGUGGACAGAUAAUUCACACCGGCCUCAAGGAGGAAGUGCUCUUCCUUCCACAAAAAUCAUCUGAGUAAACUGAUGAUUUCAUAUCACCCAUCAGUAUUAAUCAAUGUCAUGAAAUGUUAGCGUUGUUCUGUCAGAUUAAAAGUUUCUAUUUCUUUUCAAUAUGUCAGUGACAAACACUGAGCAUGACAUUUUCCCUUUAAUCCAUACCCACACACACAACAAUGUGUAUAUACUGUACCACCAAAAACAGGCAGAAAUCGGUUUAAUACUACUAGUACUACUACGACUACUAUUACUACUACUACUACUGCUACUACUACUACUACUACUAAUAAUAAUAAUAAUAAUAAUAGUAAUAAUACAUAAUAUGCUAUCCAGUCACAUCCUUUCCUGUUUUCUGCAGAUAAAUAAUUAAAUAAAAAAAUAAAAAAUAGGGGAUUUAGGUGAACAGCUUAAAUAGAUUUUACAGCGACACAAUGUUUUAUAUAAAAGGAAAAUAGUAACAAGCAAAUAAAAUAAAUAAAUAAAUUGUUUGGCUGUGUUAAAUCAGUGUAUUUAUAUUAUGCGUCACACACAGUAAAUACGUAAAAUCCCUGACGGGAAACGUUUACGUUUUGCAUUACCGAUCAAAACGCAGCGCACCAACUCAAUGCAGCUCACUUGUCCGAGGUUAAUUAAAUCAGCGCAGCCAACAGGUGCAUGCUGGGCGCAAGCUAGUCGCCCAUGGCUAACCCUACUGUGGGUAGCUAGCUAGGUAGCUAGCCAGGUAGCUAGCUAGUGCCCUGGUCAGCCUUUAAAUGUUUGUUUUUUAUUACAACUGGGCAGCGUCAUGAUGCACCUUGGGAUCAAAAUCGUUGUUGUACCCCCAGUUUUGGUUCUACCCCUGUUAGCAUCUAUUGCCCAGGAUGCCAGCCUUCUCUCCCACACCUCAGCCGUUCCUUAGUUGAGGUGUAUGAUGCUAAACGAGUUCCUCGUUACCUCCCUCCCUCCUUCCAGUGGUCGAUGCCCAUCCUUGGUUAUAUGCGCGAUGCCAGCAGACCUCAUGGAAACCACAGGAAUGUUCCUCCAAACCCACAGACUGCUCCGAACUGCAACCCAGACUAGUUGCGGGAUGAGACCAUCCACAGCCUCCAACCAAAUGUGCUGCUUUCUCAUCAGGCCCAUGCCUCCCAGACCACGCAGGAAUAACCGUCAGACUUGAACUUGUUCCAAGAGGCUGAAAAAUGGACGUGGAGAUGACGUCGGUGCUUUCAACAGAAGGAACGAAGAGAAAUGUCUUUUUUGCUCUUGGUUUUUGUCCCUUUGAUGGAGUGUUUUCCAGCCCGUAGGCAGAUCGGGAGGAUGUGGUUUGUCCUGCUUCUUUCUCGGGUCACCAUGUUGUCGGGUUCUGAGUCCCUCUGCAUCGAUGGCACUGCAGCAGCAUCGUGCGCACUGGACUGAAGACUCUGUCCAAGUGAACCGAGGGAGCAAGGACUGUUGGCCUGUAGGAGAGCCAACUAGAUCUCUGGACCUUACCUGGAGGCCUUAGGCUCAGAGGAUUGUGUUUCUUGUAACAAAUCCUUUGGAAAUGUGUCUUUUCUUUUUGUUUCCCUGAGUCCAUUGAGUGAUUGAGUUAUUUUGCUGAUGACAUGUGACAUACACUGUAGACCAACAUAACACAGGGAUGCUGUAUGAAAUAUGUAUAGAAGGCAUAUUAGGUACCAGGCAGGUAUAAAAUAUUCAAACAUUAUAGCAUGUGUUAUAAACUGUGAUCACAUUAGGCUUAUAAAUACUGUAUCUAUCCCAUUGACCGCAACGCUGACACAUGGGCAGUCUUAUUUUUAUGAUUUCAGUUCAUAUAAACUAAUCACAAAUGGGAUUAUUCAGGUGAUUAAUUUUAUUUCUUUAUUUUAUUAGUGUUAAAGGCAAAAAUAAUUUGCCCCCACAUGAAGACACCUGAACAACAACUGAUUUGCUGUAGAACCUAGACCAUUCAGCCAAUGAAGCGUUUAAUAAAUUGAUGCAGCUCAGCCAUACAAUUGUACUGUGAUCAAGCCUUUGCUUAAGAACCUGUAGAGGUGCCUGCAAUCAAGGUGGCAAUCUACUAAAGAGGUGUGGUGAAAAUCAGGACGUAAUAUAAGUUUUAGUUUAUUAUUGUAUAGGCUGAGUGCGGUGUUGACAGUUUCAACUGCCUAGAUACUAAACACUCUAUGAACUAUUAAAUGUUUUCUAUUUUUAUUUUUCUAUUAUAUUUAUUUUUGUCUUUUUGGUCUACUUGUUGACUUUGCUUUUUUGCCAUUUUCUACAGUGUAACUUUUAACUACUUUUGCCCCUAAACUGCUUGAUGCUUCACUGUCUAGUCCAGAGGGGCUGUCUCCCAUCUGAUUCAUCACUUUCUCUGAUUAUAAUCUCUGUGCAGCCAAACACACACAAUAUGUGCGAGAGCAAUCCCAAAAGCAAAGUUUGCUAUUUUUUUAGAAAUACAAACAACCAUUUAUUUUCCAAAAUAUUUACAUAAUUUUAAAGGUUGAAUUACUAUAAAUUUUUUUGACAUAGUCGCCAUUUCGGUGGAUUCAUUUUUGUAGACGCUGUGGCUGUUUUAGAAUGUCAUACUAGCUUUCCACCACUAGGAAGUGUUUGGACAGUCGUCAAAAACGUUUGCAAGUGGUGUAGAAAGUUUACAGCUGGACAUGCUGAAAAUCACAACAAAGAAACGGACGACUGUCCAUUUCCGAGACAGUUGCAAAAGUUGAGGAAAACAUGCAUGAUGAUCAGACGAUCACUCUCUGCAUUUUGGCAGCGACCCAUUUUCAACCUUUAAAACGAUGUCAAUUUUAUAUUGCACAUAAAUGGUCAUUUGUAAUUGUAAAAAAAAGACCUUACUUUUGGAAUUGCCAAUGUAUAUUUGAUAAUACACAGUCUGUGUGUAUUUAGUGAACACUUCCAUACAAUUUUGUGUGAACAUGCUGUAAGGGCCUUGUUAAUUGAAUAAACUAAUGUUUGUAGUUCAGGGUGAACUCUGGCAUCAUUACCUGCACUAUGGCAGUUUUUAGCCACUCAUUGCACGCAUAAGAUGUCCAGGAACAGUAGGUUGGCACUUACUUACUAUAAAGAAGAAUAAAACAAUGCAUCUUUCAGACAUUAGUUUUAUGGCAGGGAUUGGAUGUCUGAAAAACGUCAACAACUGGAUAUGCAGAACUAGACCUACUCAGUUGUGUGAGCAGUACACCUGAUUUUCUUAGCAGAAGGCCAGCUUUUUGUUUCUCACAUUUAUAGUUUACAGUAUAUUUUAAGCAGAACUCAUCAGCCGCUGGCUAAAACUUUACAGCAUAUGUAGAGUAUCAGUUUUAGAUAUUCAAUCUUUUUUCACAGCAAGGAAGUGAACUUCCAUAUUGCCCAAAUGUUUCUUCCUGUAUCUGGCUGCUUAUAAAGAUGAAGGCUAAGUUGGCCCUUAGACCUACAGUACUUUUGUGCUAGAAUAGAAAAAAGUGUGUACUCCACUCUCGCAUCAUGUCAACAAAAGAUGUAUUACUAACCAAAACUAAAAAAGCGGCGUUAGAUAUAUUGCCCAUACUAAAUAUUGUGUGCAAUAUUGUGAAAGAAAUGAUCAAAAUGCUUCAUGUCAGUGGGGUUAGAUUCGGCAGUGAUGCAUAUCUUGGCAUGAAUGUGUUAGUCUGAAUAAAUUUUUCUUUUUAUAAAGCUUAAAUACAUGCAUUCAGUCUUCUAAUUGUCUGCAUGUAGUAUAAAUGAAAUGCCCCACUCAGUUUGUAGACUAACAUAGUAAUGGAAUGGAAUGGUUUCAGUUUAAAACUGCAUUGGAAUCAUUGAAAGGUUUUAGUGAGGAAACAUAGAGUAGGUUUUAUUGCAGCACCUGAAAACACACACCAGCACCAACUUUACUUGUCUACAGUAGUGUAAAUACUGUACCGUGCAUUGCCUUAUAUUGGUUUAUUGAAAUUCCCCAAAAUAUUUUUAUAUACAUAGAGUUCAGGAAAUUGUAUGUGACAGAAAAGAGAAAUUUGUGUUUGUGCAUGUUGGGGGUGGGGUGGGCAGAUGUGGCUUUCUGGUCUUCAUCUCCUCCGUUUCGGUGUCACCUUUGUUGACUUUGUCUCUCUCCUUCUGCAACGCUGUGCUCUCUGCUUUAAUGACGCAUAUAUCCUAUCUCCAGUCACCGCCUAAUCCCAGCAGCGCUGGCUCAGGAACAGAUUACUGCUUCCAGACACCAGAGGAGAGAAGUGCAGGGCAAGGUGGGGGCUGUAGGGUAGAAAUAGAUGCUUUACUGAUACAAUAUACAGAGAUCAAAACCGUCAGCACAUGCACAUGGAUGAGCACAAACACGCAUGUACAUCAUCAUAUUUAUGGGAGGAACCAAGAUGUUUAUCCACAGUGAAUCAUUGUCUGCCUUUAUUUUAUUAUUUAUAUCACAUGCUCAUCUUUGCUUUAAGUUUGGUCUAGAUGCACAACGUGUGACUAAAACAAUUACUCUAAAACAAUGUGAUUUACAGUGGGAGGUUUUUUAACCUGUAUAUUGAAUCUAAUAGAAGAUGAGAUAUGUACUGUAAUACCAGUGAGUUAUAAAAUCAUACUAACAAUUGUUCUACUAUCUCCAAUAUUCAGCUUGCUACUUGUGGAUUAUUCAUUGUGGCUGCCUCAGUAAGCAACUACACUGCUCCUAAUGGCUUGGACUUUAUCCCUUAGCAGUUUUACAUGGCUAAAUACACUGCUAGGUUCAGUCACGUGCUUCAAUAUGCAAGCUGGAAAUUAAAAAUUGUAGACAUGAUACAAACAAAUUCUAGAUAAGUAUGUCUCCAUCUGGACCUGUUGGUAAUUAGAGCAGAUUGCAGACUCCACUGUUUAGGUAAGAGGGUGUGCUGUGGUGGCCUCUGUCCAGCAGCUGCUGUCGUGCCGGCUACCAUCCCAACAACAUGACUUUUAGCACCAAAUGAUGGCCAAUAAAACAUUUGAUUGAGAAGCGAAGAGAGUGAGAACCAUAAACAGGCUGGAUUCUGCCCUUUAAUUUCACCAUCUCCAGAGAAUUGGUUUUGUUGUGCUGCAGUGUAGAUCCCACACACAAGCAGUUUAGUUGUCUGCCCAAGGACUGAAAUUUAAUUUAGAGUGCGUGUGUUUGUGUGUAUGUGUGUGUGUGCAUGUCAGUCAGUCAGUCCGACUGUCUUUGUCUGUGCUUGUGUGUCUGUCUGCAUAAGUCAGUUUGGAAUCCCUCUGUGUGCAGAAACUAGCAUUGCAUGAACUGCAUUUGUGAGCGUUUGUGAUGUGCAUGCUGUAUUUUGUGUUCUCCUAUUCUCCAGUGAUUUAAUCGUUUUACACUGCCAAGUUGUUACGCUACCAUUUUACACUGUCUGCUGGUACUAAGGAGUGUAUUUGCUCUGUGUGCUCUACUGUUUCGGGAUUUGAAUUACUUCUUGUGUAGUAUUGCAGCUGAUGUGACAUCGUUGUGUUAACCUCAAAACCCCAGAAUACCCCCAGUUACUCUUCUGGCAUCGUUGUUUCCGAGUCAAAAACAUUUUGGCAAUAAUCUUCUGUUGAGAAUAUGUUGAUUGCAGGUUUAAAAUGUACAGCGGCUUCUGAUCAUGGCUAGUUCUCUAACAGUUGCUUGUGUGUAUGUGUUUAUAGCGCAGGUUCCUGAUGAAAGCCUAGAGCAGAGGCAUAUAUCAGAGCUCCAGCACUAAUAAAAGGCCAGCAAGCUGUGCUCCUCUCCUUCUGGGAACAGCACCGCUUUUUACUGCUUCUCUGACAGCAAGAUAAAGUGCCCUUCCAAUUAGAAAAAUAUUUGGCCACAUACCUACCAACAGCGAUCCUGGGUUUUUAUUUUUCGUGCCAUUUGAUCAGGAAUUCUUGCUAUUUUACAGUGUGCUUUCUCAUCAUCAUGUCCUGGGUAUGCAAAUGUUAAUGUGCACCCCGCCAGUGCACUAUAUCGCUGUAAAUUGCAAUAAUAGUGGUUUUAUUUUGGUGUCUCUUCCUUUAUUUUGCCCUUUCUUUUGUAGGUGUAAGGCUGCACACAGUUAUGCACUGAUCCGGUUUUGGCGGUGCUUCAGCGUUUUGCACAAGAGGAUUUACGCUCCUGUGUGUUUGGGUUGAUGUCAUUCUUGUUGCCCCAGUCAUUCAUUUCUGCCUCACACAGAGAUGUAUGCAUAUAUACUUAACCGCUGAUGCUGGUCUCCAUCUCGCUAGAAUACUGUAGAUCUUCUUUGCCUUUUUUUUCCAGAGAGUGCAUUAAAAUUAAAUUCUCUCUUGUUGUUGUGAAAAGAGGCACACGUAAAAAAUAAUUGGCUGCAGGAGAGAACAAAGGGCUGGCUCCUCUCUCUUCCCUGCACACCCCAGCCAGGCAUUAAUACCAAGCUUGCUGCAUUGUUCUGCUGUCUGCAGCCAUCCCCCUAGCCAGACACUCAGCCCUGGAGAAGUCACUUUUAAUGUCUGAUAAUCAAGGUGAAUUUUCAAAAAGCUGCCAUUUUCAAAUGAUGGUGUAUAUAUUAUGUGUAGAUGGGAGUUCAGGAGCAGAGGCGCUUGGCUGGGUGAGAGAGAACACUGGCACCAUGUGAAGUGAAAGAGAGGCACCUAACGGCCAGAGAGGGAACUGCAGGGGGGCUUUUACCUUUAAUCACAAAUCCAUGAAGGAUGGAAGGCAGCUGGAUUAUCCGUGUUAUUGAUUAAACUGGACUGAUAAUUGUGUGUGUUUCUCAUUAACUUACUUUUCUGAGCCUUAGCUAGCCAUAAAGGAUGUCUUCCAGAAUGGCUGGACGUGCACGGGGCUCUUCUAGAGUGCAAACACUGCCUGCUGCGGCCCCUUGCUGAAGGGGAGCUCCUAUUUGGCAGUAUUAUUGGGGAGCUGGGCAGCCAGCAGCCAAGCAGUGGAGUGGAUUUCCAUGCUACAGGGCACAGACUCAUCUUCCCCUCGCUCCUCCCAUGUCCCCGCUUCCCCCACCACUAGGCCUCGAAGCAGUGUGCCCAAGGCAUCCAGGAGUAGAGUGUACAUCAUGCAAAGGUGUGUCAGCCCAGUACAGAGAUCCAGAUUCCAACAAACCCAAAAACAACUAGCAGGACCUUCAGGAAGCAGGGGAUAAUCUACAGGUGGACCAUCACAGGCAGCGGUACAUGACCUGCAGGCUGUUCACCAUGGAGAGGGAGAUGGGAGCAGCUGGAGCAUUUGAUCCGUGUGGUACAUGAACAACUGCACUUGACAGAUGGUUCUGGUUGAAAACCCUGCGCGCUGUGACAGCUACACGCAGAUGGAGGUGCAGGGUGGAGGGCUCCUCCACUGAUACAACCCAGAGGGACUGGGCACGGCCUCACUCAGGCGGAUUUGAACCAAAACUAAAUGAUUGGAUUGAACAAACAGAACUUGCUGCUUGCUGGUGGCCUGGUAGCUCAGUGGGGAGAACCCACUGGCCCUGAAAGCAGGAGGUCCCAGGUUCAAGCCCACUAGGGCUCCAGGUGUGUCCUCCACCAACCCUGGGCGCCUUGGGAGCCCACUGCUCCUCCAGGAGAUGGAUUAAAUGCAGAGGACCAAUUUUGAUGUGAUGUUGAUGUGAAGCAUUAAUCUUAUUAUUCAUCAUUUUAUUGAACUGUGUUCUCACCAGGAGGGCCGCACCAAAGUUUCGCUAGAUGAUGCGGAUCGAGAUCACCUCAUUUUGGGGGUCCCGUGUGGUUCUUUUGGUGAGCACUCGAGUGCCAGUCACACCAGACAAAACAAACCACACCAAGAGGGAAAAAGAACUUGAGUUUGAUUGAAUUGAACUAAAUCGUGUGGGUGUGAAGGGACCUUCAGACUAGUCUAUGUCUGGAAGUCAAAUCACUGUAGCUUGUCCAGCGUGUUAGUAAUUUAUGGAUGUUUUGUUCCAUCUGCAGCGGAGAGGGAGGAGCAGCAGGAGAGAGGGAUGAUCAAAGUACAAGCUACCAGCACAUAAUCACACGCUACUGUAUAUCAACAAGACUUCAGUGACACGGCAGCUGACGGAGACGCCACCGGGAGGUGAAUUUGGACAGAGCUCUGACAGGACAAGCACAAACUCUUUGAAUACAAGAAGAGCUCUGAUUAGUAAAGCAGGCCACAAAAGGGGAGAAGAGUCACUGGCAGCCUCUCCCCGUAGAGAAGUCCUCCUGCAAGCAGUGCCACCUACUGCAUCCAGCCCUGGGACGUCACUCUCAGUGAAACUCAUCCCAUCCUCCGUACAUCUGGCUCCUACGAGGUCUCAGAGAGCAUCUGGAUAUUAUUCUGCGAGGACGCAAUGGAGCAGGUGUCCAGUGGCUGAAUGGUAGUAGGCACCGGAGGCAGGAGACAGACUAGCUUCAGCAGCUCAAUGUGAAAAUGAAAGCAGUGUUGGGACGCAACGCAGAGCCCGACGCCUCUGACAGCACAAUCUAUCAUCUUUAAUUACAGCGGCGUGACGCCCCGACACUGCCCACGCUUCCCUCAUCUCUCCUUCCUUCUGCCUCACACGCACAAACCUGCAGCAAUUACAGCCAUCAGGCCAUAACCCCUUUCUGUCAGUGUCCCCCUCUGCCUCCCUGUUCAGUUCAGGAGAAAGUGUUGAGCCUCACUCUGGUUUUAAAUGCAACAAAUGACUUUCACUUAGCAAAUCUUGCUACCGUUACAAAUUAAAAUGUUUCUUCCCCAAAAAACAGACUUGAGUGCAUCCAUCAGGUAGGCUCAAAACAGAGACUAGCAAAACCAUGACCCCACAACUGCAAUAUAAACUCACAAUGUGAUGGAUUACCAAACUCCAGCAAGCCACUGCACCCCGCUAAUUGAUUUGACAGCCCAUAUGGAGAUGAACAGAAACCUGAGGCUGUGCUGCGACAAAUACAGGACUUCCAUGCAUCUGCAGCCUACAGCUGAAAAUGGUCCACAAAUAUGGGAAGCACAGCUGUUAUUUCGAGCUUCGGCAUAAUUAAUAUGCAGCCGCCAAAGUUGUUGAUUCUGAAAAAUCAAGAGUACGGCUUUGACACCAACAGGUCUGCAUCUAAGAGUGCGUUUAACAUGUGUAAAUAUCAAAUGGCAUCAUAAAAUUGUUUUGUUUUGUCCAACUUGCUCUGUAAAAGACAAUAAAUGGCACUACCUUUUUAAAAGCUU